rnacentral:rRNA from 1 species
CGCCUCGCAAGAGGAGCGGCAGACGGGUGAGUAACGCGUGGGAAUCUACCCAUCUCUACGGAACAACUCCGGGAAACUGGAGCUAAUACCGUAUACGUCCUUCGGGAGAAAGAUUUAUCGGAGAUGGAUGAGCCCGCGUUGGAUUAGCUAGUUGGUGGGGUAAUGGCCUACCAAGGCGACGAUCCAUAGCUGGUCUGAGAGGAUGAUCAGCCACAUUGGGACUGAGACACGGCCCAAACUCAUACGGGAGGCAGCAGUGGGGAAUAUUGGACAAUGGGCGAAAGCCUGAUCCAGCCAUGCCGCGUGAGUGAUGAAGGCCCUAGGGUUGUAAAGCUCUUUCAACGGUGAAGAUAAUGACGGUAACCGUAGAAGAAGCCCCGGCUAACUUCGUGCCAGCAGCCGCGGUAAUACGAAGGGGGCUAGCGUUGUUCGGAAUUACUGGGCGUAAAGCGCACGUAGGCGGAUAUUUAAGUCAGGGGUGAAAUCCCGGGGCUCAACCCCGGAACUGCCUUUGAUACUGGGUAUCUCGAGUCCGAGAGAGGUGAGUGGAAUUCCGAGUGUAGAGGUGAAAUUCGUAGAUAUUCGGAGGAACACCAGUGGCGAAGGCGGCUCACUGGCUCGGUACUGACGCUGAGGUGCGAAAGCGUGGGGAGCAAA